CUUUAUCCCACCAUUCUCCAUUGACAUCACAAGCUGACCUUCAAAAAGACUAGUGUUCGCACGGAUGCCAAUACCAACCACUACCAUAUCAGCAGGAAGGUGUCUACCAUCUUUGAGGAUUACCGCAGUCACCUGUGCAUACACGGGAACAAUAUUAUUUUUAACUAUCAACUUAACAACAACAGUACUAGCUUAAGUUUCUUAUACUGCUUAAGGUGCUUUAAAAUGGUAGAGCUAAUAGUGGUUGAUAUUCAUAGCCUAAAUACGCCAGAUUCAGUAAAGAGAUUUAGAGGAAUUGAUGAAUCUGUGUUAGCUCAUCAUUGACAUCGAGUCAUUGUUGCUGGAACAUACUGUUUCAGAAAUAAGCCAUUUCUAUUCCAGGGCUAUCAACAAUCAAAUCAUGCAAUACCAAGAUGUCAUAAACUAGAUAGCUUAUCCGAUUACGUGUAGGCUGAUCCAGGUGAAUCUAAGAGACUGGAUUAGGAUCAAAUCAAUAGCAAAAUUUGAAAAAAUUCUCCCGAAAAAUGGAAAACCUAGUUUAUAGCCAUCUACCAAUGAAAUGAAGUAGAUAUAGGUGGAUGAAAAUGUCUAAUAGUUAUCCAUAUGUACUACCAGGAAGUGCUGAAAAAGAGGCUCUGGACCAUGACUUGGUUAUAUGACUAUGACUUUUUACUUGGUACUAGAUGUAAAAUUGCUAUUUAUCUAUCUCAAGCCUGUUCCAGUUUCAUGGUAUGGAACUAUGGAAACUCACCUUCCCUGUCGUGUCUCUUUCAAAGGAUGUAAGCACAGUUCCUUUAACAAAGGUGACCCCUCUUGAGGUGUAGUAGUCUUCAUAAUAUUCUGCAAUUUUUUCUGUAAAUAGACGACCCACUGCAGAAAUAAAUCAAGUUCAUAUUUAGAUCAGCAGGAGAGGUAUUAUAGCAUGCUGGGAGCCCUGCCACAAAGAGUUCAAACUUUAUUUAGGUGAUGAAAUCAACUACUUACUGCAGUGUUUCUCAGGGAAGACCAUGGUGACCCUUAUCUUGUUAGUGACCAAUGCCGCUGCACAUUCCAUUCCAAUGUAGCCACCACCAAUGACAACAGCAUUUCCACCAGGACAUGAUUUCAUCGCAUUGACCAACUUAUCCGCAUCAUCAAUAUUGCGUAAAUAACAUAUGUUUGAAGCAUCUGAACCUUGUAUUCCAAAUUCUUGCAACUUCAGAGCCUAUGUUAUGUAAAGAAAGAAAGUUAGACAAAUACAUAAAUCAAACAUCACAAACUAGAUCAUUAUUUAACAGUAAAGGAUAGCAAGUGUUAUGAAGAAUUGAAUUUGAAACGAAAAUAAUUGGACGAAAAAAGAAGUACAAACAGAUCCAAUACCCGAGCACCUGUCGCAAUAAUAAGAGUUUUAUAGCUGAUAGUUUCUCCUGUGGCUGUAAGCAAUGUCUUGCGCCUCACGUCAGCAGAAAUCACUUUUGUUCCAAGAACAAGUUCAAUGCCUAAUUGAGUAAAGUAGUAGUUAGAAAAAUAGAAAAUAUCAUGUUCACCGCACUCUUACAAGAAAACAGAAUAUAUCAUGGUCACGCACUCUUACAGGAACAAUGACAGAGGACGAUAAUACGAUCCUUCGAACUGAAUGAAAGAAUAGAUUACUAUAUGGAUGGAUCUACUGAAUAAGUUGCACAGGUCAUGACCAAUAAGAUGCUACUUAAAUAUCUAAUAAUCUAUAGCAUUUGCCAAUAUUUAAUAUAUGUGAUUAGUCAUAGAAUCAUAAAAUCCAGUAAAGAAGAUUGAAACCCUACCUUGUUCUUUGUACCAUUUUGUUGUCAGUAACUCAUCAUUAGCACCAACGCAAGUAUGAAAUCCUGGAAGACGAGCAGCACCUGCAAAUAUCUCAGAGGUUAACAACAGUCAGCGAUAUUAACAAUGCACUGACGAAGGUUAAGGAUGCAAUCCACACAUGUUUUUCGCAAACACUCCUUGAUCCGUGACUGAAAAAGGCACGCACCUUCCGGGAGCAGAUAGCCUUUGCUUAGCGCAGGACGUUCGUAAGGAGCAACCUGUCGAGUGAUUGGAGAAAUGAUUGCUCAGGAAAAAAAAAUCACAGAAUGCUCAAUCGAACAGCAAAAGGCAGAGCGUGAUAAGGAAAGGAUGGAAGGAAAGCAUACGGCCUCCUCGGAGAUGAUGCAGAGCUCGCCGGGGGCGGCGUCGCCGCGGCGGCGGACGAACUCGAGCGCCGCGUAGCCCGCGGCCACGCCGCCGCCCAGUAUCACGUACGUGAACGCGCGGCCCAUCUGGUUCCUUCGCACCGUAAUUCUCCCUCUCUGUCUUCCUCUCUCCCAAGUCUCGUCGUUUCCCGUCCGCCAUGGACGAGCUUUAAGUAGCCGUGAUCGCAGCACGGUUCGAUCGGGCCCCUCCGACCAGGUUCUUGGCUUGCGGGCAGGAGAGCAGGCGCGGGGCCGGCGUGGCAGGAAAAACUAUGCCUUGCCCGCCUCUCCUCCCGCGGGGCCCGAUCGGUGCCGUUCUUUCCCUCGUCGUCAAGGAAAUAUUGGAAUCCUUCUGGGUAAAGAAAAGCUUCACCAUCUUUUCAGAACGUUGAUAAUGCAUCUUUCCAGAAUGUUGGUAAUAUUAGUUGAUGCUGGAACAUCAUAUGAUACGAGCAUCGGUGCUAAUCAGGUGGGCUUUUGCCUUUUGGACAUACUUUUUUAGAAAACGUGCUCACCACACAUUUCAUUAAGGGAGAAAGGAAGUACAACAGUUUUUUGCACAAAAGAAAGCAGAGACGGUGAGACAGGAAAAUAAAACAGGACAGAGCAAAAGAGAGACCUAACGCCAGAGGCACACAGACACACGCGCAACAGCUAGCACGACCUCGGAUGGGACAAAGUGGCCAGCAAGGUCACAGAACUCUGCAUCUCAUUUGGGGAAAGAAUUGUGAUUUUACAACAAGAGUGCUCCUGAUAGUUUAGCAGCAGAAUUUUGCUCAUUAAACAGUACAUGAUGGUGUUUGUAACUUUGUAUACUAUCUGUUUACAUUUGAGAGUUGAAACUAUACUUUCAUACAAGUUACACUGGACUUGCUUUGAGUAGCUGAACCCAAUAGCACAUCCCAGGUCUUCUUGCAUCAGCUGACCACAAGAUCCCAACAGAUGGCACACAAAUUAGAACGAGGUGGUCCUGAGUUCACCACCUGCGACGCUUCCUGCCAUACCAAUAACCAAUCGCAGCGAUUGACACUGCUGCGACCACACCAGCUGUGGCAUGCCAUGCGUAAGUAGGUUUUCCAACCACGGCAAGCCCACAGUCAGGCGCUUCCGUCUGGCUCUCCUGAAUGGCAAACGCCAGGCCUUGUUUUUCAAGUUCAGCCAUGUUUGCGACCUUUGCUUUCCGCCGAACAGCUACUGAUAUGGCCUCGUAUUCAUCCCGACUUCCACCUUCAAGAAAUGCACCUGCAAUUCGGCCUUUAUUGACCCAAUAUGCACCAAACCUUGGGCUGCUGCUUGUGAAGUCUCCAAAGUGAACCACUUCCCCAACAUUAUCCCCAUAGAACUGCCAGGACAGUGUGAAGACCCUGGAGUAGAAGAAUGGUAGGUAAUCGAUGUCCCUGGUUUUUGAAGGCUCCAAGAUGGAUGCAACGGCAUGCCUAGCAGUUCUUCGAGCUGAAUCAACAUGCUCAAGCCGUCGGAUAUCACCAUCAAAAAGCUUGAUGGGGAAUGCAGCAACAUCUCCAACAGCAUAUACAGAGCUGUCACUUGUCUGCAGCUGUCCAUUUACCUUUAUCCCACCAUUCUCCAUUGACAUCACAAGCUGACCUUCAAAAAGACUAGUGUUCGCACGGAUGCCAAUACCAACCACUACCAUAUCAGCAGGAAGGUGUCUACCAUCUUUGAGGAUUACCGCAGUCACCUGUGCAUACACGGGAACAAUAUUAUUUUUAACUAUCAACUUAACAACAACAGUACUAGCUUAAGUUUCUUAUACUGCUUAAGGUGCUUUAAAAUGGUAGAGCUAAUAGUGGUUGAUAUUCAUAGCCUAAAUACGCCAGAUUCAGUAAAGAGAUUUAGAGGAAUUGAUGAAUCUGUGUUAGCUCAUCAUUGACAUCGAGUCAUUGUUGCUGGAACAUACUGUUUCAGAAAUAAGCCAUUUCUAUUCCAGGGCUAUCAACAAUCAAAUCAUGCAAUACCAAGAUGUCAUAAACUAGAUAGCUUAUCCGAUUACGUGUAGGCUGAUCCAGGUGAAUCUAAGAGACUGGAUUAGGAUCAAAUCAAUAGCAAAAUUUGAAAAAAUUCUCCCGAAAAAUGGAAAACCUAGUUUAUAGCCAUCUACCAAUGAAAUGAAGUAGAUAUAGGUGGAUGAAAAUGUCUAAUAGUUAUCCAUAUGUACUACCAGGAAGUGCUGAAAAAGAGGCUCUGGACCAUGACUUGGUUAUAUGACUAUGACUUUUUACUUGGUACUAGAUGUAAAAUUGCUAUUUAUCUAUCUCAAGCCUGUUCCAG
rnacentral:lncRNA from 1 species